UUAGGGUAUGGCGAAAAAGGUAUCGUAUUUGCCUUGGGCGUAAAAGAUUGCGGGUUCGAGUCCCGCUGCCCUAAA
rnacentral:tRNA from 1 species